UACAGAGGGUGCAAGCGUUAAUCGGAAUUACUGGGCGUAAAGCGUGUGUAGGCGGAUAUUUAAGUCGGAUGUGAAAUCCCUGGGCUCAACCUAGGAACUGCAUUCGAUACUGGAUGUCUAGAGUAUGGUAGAGGAAAGUGGAACUCCCGGUGUAGCGGUGAAAUGCGUAGAUAUCGGGAAGAACACCAGUGGCGAAGGCGGCUUUCUGGACCAAUACUGACGUUGAGGCACGAAAGCGUGGGGAGCAAACAGG
rnacentral:rRNA from 1 species